CGUGUAGGCGGAUCGACAAGUCAUAUGUGAAAUCCAACGGCUUAACCGUUGGCUUGCAUUUGAAACUGUAGAUCUUGAGUACGGGAGAGGAAAGUGGAAUUCCUGGUGUAGCGGUGAAAUGCGUAGAUAUCAGGAGGAACACCGGUGGCGAAGGCGGCUUUCUGGUCCGAUACUGACGCUGAGGCGCGAAGGCCGGGGGAGCAAACAGGAUUAGAUACCCUGGUAGUCC
rnacentral:rRNA from 1 species